AGUGACCUUAAUUGGCUGUCCUUUGCAAAUACUUCCAGAAAGAAGGACUUCGGAAACAAUAGUCUCUUAGUUUUUACUAGACUCUCUCAGCCUGCAACUCGCUGGUAGUGAAGAGCCCUAUGAAACAGUGGAUUCCAAGCCCAGCACGGAGCUCAACAGAUGGCCUGAGAUCAAGACCUGAGCCGAGAUCAAGAGUCUGAUGCUGAACUGACUGAGCCACCCGGGUGCCCUGGACUUUCUCUUUUUAAAGCAAGGAAAUGUUUUCUUCAAAAGAAAUCUUACUCGGAACCCUAAUGCACAAAGUAGACACCAAUGGAGCUUUUCCAAUUGAAGGGUGUUGGUGGUAUGCAGAGCAAUGUGCUCUCUUUAUCCCAACACUUUCUCCCUUGGCUUCCUGCCUUCUGCGUCCCUCCAAAUUGAGGCCUCUUCUGAAACAUCGUGACUCUGGGAACACUGCAUGAUUUAAAUAGAUAUAGAUAUUAGUGAAAACAUAUCCAUGAAGUUUAUUAUUAUUAUAUUUAAAAAUUAAUAUUAAAUACAUUGUUAUGUAUUAUCAAGUCAUAUUAUUACAUAUUAUAUAUAUAUAUUUAUAUAAAAUAUAAAACUAUACAGCCUAGCCCAGUGGCAGGAAGAAAAGAUAUGGAACCUGACUACAUACACAGAUGGUGGAGGCACAGCAGGUCCAUUUGGGGGGAGGUGGAACCCAGGUCUCAGCUGAAGCCACAGGGGCAGAAAUAAGGUGCACAGGUCCUGGGGCUCCCCAUGACCCACAGGCAGCAGCAGACAGCUCUUCUCUUCCUGCCUCUGGAGGGUUCAGGUGAGUGAGACAAGGAGACAGGAGGUGGGCAUUUAGCCCUCACUUCCCUGGUCCCGCCUGCCCCAGGGUCCAGGCCUCCUUUGUCCUCCUCAGUGAGACUGAGGUCUUUGUCCUAGGCUAUGGGGAGUGUGACCUUGCUGACCCCUUCGAAGUGGUAGAUUGCCACACAGUGACCUAUGCUGGGGAUGGGGGGGAUGAGAACUUCUCAAAAUCAUCACCAAACUCUGUGUAGACGAGGGCAUCCUGAUGCUCCCUGAGGGGGCUCUUCUGCUCUCCUCAUUUCGAGACAGUUGCUGCUGUCUGGUGGGGGGGUGGGGGGCUAGCUGGAGGGCUGGAGGCUGAGGGUGCCGCCGGGCUGUCCCUGCGCCCGGUCAGGACCUGACUCUUGACCUCUGCCAGCCAAGCCUCAUACUUCCGCCCUUGCAAAGCCAGCAGCUCCGUGUUGCUGUUUCUGGAUAUGAAGCUGCUCCUCCGGUUAAAACCUUCAGAAUUGCUUUUUACACAUUGGCUAGUCAGAUAUUCAAGAAGUUCUGCUUGGAACCUCAAAAAGGUCACACCGCGCAUGCGCACAUGAAUAUCGUAAGGAAGCCACUGAGAAGUUUAAUUACAGACUAUGAUUUUUGACUCCCUGAUUAUUGUACUUUGGGCAGGAAACGACUGGUUCUGGCUUAACUUUAGUCAAAGGAUCCCUCACGAAUUUCCCUGAAGACCAAAGCUGCAAGUCCUUUUACUGUCUAUUUUGCCAAAGCUGUACCUGUUUUCUGUAUUGAACAUACUGACUCAUGGAUCCUGAAUCAAACCUCAGCUUGAGACGGUGAGACUCUUCAAGAUUUACUCUUUUAAAAACUUUCAAUAUAUAAUUAUUAGCUAUAAGCACCAUGCUAUACAUUAGAUCCCUAGGACUCGUUCAUCUUAUAAAUGAAACAUUAUAUCAACAGAACAACAGAAGAAUCAAGCUUUGGAAACCCUAACUUUCAAGGAAAACUUUGAAUUUGAAAUGAAUAAGCUAAUGAUUUUUGAGCUCUUAAGACAAUGGAGUUGCGUAGCUAUUGCUGGACACUAUUGAUGCAUGAAGAAAGAAAAUGGCGGGCUCAGGUUAAUCUCAAUUUUUACAGGGAAAUGUGAGAAUGAGGGAGCUUCUGUGCCACCACACCCAAGCCCUAGUCUCAUUUAUCUUCAUCCGCAGGCAGAGAAAGCUCAAGGUCAGGCACAGGAUUGCACUGCAAAUGACAGAUCUUCAGAAGAUGCUUAAUUCUCAGCUGAGACAGGUUGCCUACACCAAGGUCAAGGUGCUGAUAGGGAAGGGAUGAGCCUGUGAAAUCUGAGGCAGGGUGUCUGGCUAGAGUCUCCUGAACUUUCCUGCCCACGGCCUCGUGUUGGGAGACAGACCCAGUCACGUUCCUCAGCAAAAGCCUUAAAUGGGGCAGGCAUUUUAAAAACAAUGCAUACCCUCCUUAAGAUUGCCUCUACCUUCCCCUCUUGGACAUCAGUCAGUAUUUAGCGUUGAAGCUCAGCCUAUCCUGACGAUGGUUGCUCAGGUCCUGCUGCGGGAGGUGAGGAAUUAUUUGCCCAAAGAGCAGCAGUGUCUAGUAACAGGUACUAGCAGGAACCGGAAGUGUCUGCCUGGAAGUAGAUCCCGGGAUUGUUGAAUCAAAGGGUCAGAAGAGAAAUCGAGGCAAGGGAGAGGUUGUCACCAUAGGGACGCUCUGGUGACACAGUAAACGGCACCCUGGCAAGGGACCCAGAAGGCUCUUAAUGCUCUUCUGGGAUGGCUGUUCGAGGUUUGAAAAGGCGAGGACCCUCGUUGAACGAAGUACAGAUGCCAGAAAUGCUGUGCUGGGGUCAGAGCGUCUGCUUGCUCUUAGCCCAUAGAUUUAACCUGGUGAAAUGUUGAGGAGCAUAUAUUUCUUUAUAACAAGCGCUACAGUUUGUCUUAGGGAGAGAACUGUCUUUAAGUGGAAGGUGAGGGAUGGUUCGGGAAGAGGGCAUGUCUUAGCAGAAGCCAAGGAAACAGGGACACUGGGAUGGUUGUCAGUUAUACGUCUGACUCUUGGUUUCAGCUCAGGUCUUAAUCUCAGGGUCUUUGGAUAGAGCCAUGCAUGGGGCUUGAGUCUGCUUGGCAUUCUCUCUCCCCCUCUCCCUCUGCCCUUCCUGCUCAUGAUGUCUGUCUCUCUUUCUAAAAUAUAUAAAUAAAAUCUUGGGAGUGGGGGCGGUGGAGAAAGGAGCUAAGGAAACAGAAAAGCAAGUCGAAUUUUCCAGUGGGGGAGUGGCUAGCCACACUUGUUAGCUGAGCUGAUGGCUUGGAGAAGGGAGGAAAGGAAGAAGACAGGAGGCCUUGCCACGAGACAGUGCCACAGCAGAUACUAAGCUGUUGUCAGAAGUAGCCAAUAAAUCCCUCUGUCUUUCCAAACUGCCAAUCACACAAAUGUUUUGAGUGAGGUGGUAUUUCUUGGCUAUUGAGGAAGAAAUCUCAGUGCCACGUCCGAGUGGAGAACAUAGUUCUGAGCAGCACAGCUCAUUGAGGCAUUCCCUAAGAUGAGCCACUGUAGUGGCUCCAAGAACUUAACAGUGGAGUUGACUAGAACAAAAACACUCCUGGACUUUGCAGGGGCUUUGCAGGGAUCCCUGGGGUGGGAGAGGGAAUUUCUAUUAUCUGUCACAGGGGCUUUGAGCUCAUCUCCCCUUCAGAGGUGGGUAGCCUCAGAAUGAGAUCUUGGUUCUACCAGUCUGGGGGCUCAAGGAAUAGUCCCUGGAAAGAUCAGUGUCUCGCAGGUUCUUUUCUGAAGGACGGGAUUGACUCAGCAUGCAGUCCAGUACAAUGGUGAAGGUGUAAGUCAGGUUACUGGAAACUGAGGGACUUCAUGGGGAGGAAAGAUAGAGAGUACACCUUGGUAUGAGUUUAGCUAUGAGUUGUAGCAUGAAAAUGGGAGAAAACCAAAUACAAAUGAUAAGUUGAUGGUAGUUGGGCAGAUCACUUAAUUUUUUUUUCCCAUUUGUCUUCUGUAAAGAGAAAAAUUUGUCAGGGGAUGUAAGUUUAGCUUAUAAUUCUAUACUUGUAAUAAUUAUUGUAUUCUGUAAUCUAGCAUGCAGACACAUUUGCUUUAUUUGCUUAUUUUUUGAAGAUUUUAUUUAUUUGUUUGACAGAGAGACAGUGAGAGAGGGAACACAAGCAGGGGAAGUGGGAGAGGGAGAAGCAGGCUUCCCCUGAGCAGGGAGCCCCAUGUGGGUCUCGAUCCCAGGACCCUGGGAUCACGACCUGAGCCAAAGGCAGACACCUAGCGACUGACCACCCAGGCACCCCAGACACAUUUGCUUUAAAUUUAUAUUAUGGAUCUUUAUAACCCCAGUUUGAUCAUGUCUUUAUUGGGAGAAUAAGUACUCUAACCUUGCCAGAUGUUUCUGCACCAUUAAGUACAUUGUAAAUGGCAAAUACUAAAUAUAUAAUCCUGUUUAGUAUGACUUUAAAAAAACAGAAACACACACAAAUACUACAAGAUUUUUACAAAUGGACAAAUGAGGCACAUAAAAGUGAAAUGGGGUGCCUAGGUGGCUCAGUCGGUUAAAAAUCUGCUUUCAGCUCAGUUAAUGAUCCCAGAGUCCCAGGAUCAAGCCCUGAGUCAGACUCCCUGCUCAGUGGGGGAGGCUGCUUCUCUCUCUGACCCUCUCACCUCUUAUGCUCUCUCUCUUUCACUCUUUCUCAAAUAAGUAAAUAAUUUUUUUUUAAAGGUGAUUAAUUUUCCUCUCAGGAUUAGACAGCAAAAGAAAAUUCCUAAGAUCAACUCUAUAGUUUUUGUCACUUAUUGUACUUGUUUGGAUACUCAUGUUGUUUGGGCUGUGAAUUUUUCUCUUUCACUGAGUCACUUCUGUUUCAGAAAUAGGAUUAACGUAUCAAAAUAAAGCAUAAAAUACACAACCUUCUUCAUGAUUGACUCAAACAUAGCAAUGAAAGGAACUUGAGAAGUGAUUGUCAGAGGAGAGAUAAGAGAAGGGAGGAAAUGAAGAGCGGCCUGGAACAGUGUUGGUCAAGAUUUCGUACAGGUUUUUCAACACGCAUUAUCUAUUGGUUCUUAAAUGGGAAAAAUAGCAAUAAUUUCCCAAGAAGCAAUAGUUAGAAGAAUGUGACAUUCAAUUUUCUUUAAGAAUUGAGAGUGCAGGGGUGCCUGGGUGGCUCAGUCGGUUCAGUGUCCCCUUCAGCUCCCGUCAUGAUCCCAGGGUCCUCUGAUCGAGUCCCCUAUCAGACUCCCUGCUCUGUGGGGAGACUACUUCUCCCUCUGCCUCUACCUCUCUGUUUCUCAUGAAUAGAUAAAUUAAAAAAAAAAAAAGAAAUUGAGAGUACAGAAAGACAUAUUCACACUCAAUCAAACUGAGACGUCUCUAAAACCCCAGAGUGACUUAGAAAGUAUCAUGUCCUUGAUUUUUGCCCAGUGUGAUAGCAUCUUAGUGAUUGAUGACAUCUCUCAUGUAUUCCCAACCCAUUCCCACACUCCCGGAACACAUUUUACUCUGAAAUCCAUCCCUACUUCAGCUCUUCCUUACUCUUUUUUUUUUUUUUUUUUUUAAGAUUUUAUUUAUUUAUUUGACAGAGAGAGAUCAUAAAUAGGCAGAGAGGCAGGCUCCCCACUGAGCAGAGAGCACCAUGCAGGGCUUGAUCCCAGGACCCUGAGAUCAUGACGGGAGCUGAAGGCAGAGGUUUUAACCCACUGAGCCACCCAGGCACCCCUCCCUUACUCUUAAUCACCAACUAUCAUAGAUAGAAGUUGUUCUCAACUCAGGAGGGUUUCUUUGUUUACAAAACUCAGGUGUAAAUGAAAUGAGUAUCUCUCACCAUAGCAUUAUGCUAGUCCAGCUUUCUUAUAGUCCUGAAAACCUACACAUUUUCCUCUCCACUGGGGCUAACAAAACAUUCUGAUUAUUAUAUCCCAUUGUUUAUUAGACCUCAGGUCGUAACAAAAAUAAAUAACUGGUUUGGAGACAAACAGAACCUGGCAGACUUAAGAGAUACUUUAUGUUGUGUUAUAAGUGCAGAAUACAUUGAACUCAGGGGCACCUGGGUGAUUCAGCCUUUAGAUGUCUGUUUUUGGCUUGGUUCAUGGUCCCAGGGUCCUGGGAGUUGGGUUCCCUGCUCAUUGGGAAGACUGCUUCUCCCUCUCCCUCUUCUCUGGCUUGUGUUCCCUCUCUCUCUGUGUC